rnacentral:ncRNA from 1 species
AUCGAACAAAGGCAAACCCGUUCGAAAGACGGGGACGCAAAGCCACGGGUCUAAGACGCAAGCACUACGUUUGCGGGAUGAUAGCCGGGUUGCCUAU